rnacentral:rRNA from 1 species
UGGUCAGGACGAACGCUGGCGGCGUGCCUAACACAUGCAAGUCGAGCGAGGAGAUCCUUCGGGAUGAUCCUAGCGGCGGACGGGUGAGUAACACGUGGGCAACCUGCCUCAUAGAGAGGAAUAGCCUUCCGAAAGGGAGAUUAAUACCUCAUAACAUUGCAGUUUCGCAUGGAACAGCAAUUAAAGGAGUAAUCCGCUAUGAGAUGGGCCCGCGGCGCAUUAGCUAGUUGGUGAGGUAACGGCUCACCAAGGCGACGAUGCGUAGCCGACCUGAGAGGGUGAUCGGCCACAUUGGGACUGAGACACGGCCCAGACUCCUACGGGAGGCAGCAGUGGGGAAUAUUGCACAAUGGGGGAAACCCUGAUGCAAGCAACGCCGCGUGAGUGAUGACGGCCUUCGGGUUGUAAAGCUCUGUCUUCAGGGACGAUAAUGACGGUACCUGAGGAGGAAGCCACGGCUAACUACGUGCCAGCCGCAGC